GACAGAGGAUGCAAGCGUUAUCCGGAAUGAUUGGGCGUAAAGCGUCUGUAGGUGGCUUUUUAAGUCCGCCGUCAAAUCCCAGGGCUCAACCCUGGACAGGCGGUGGAAACUACCAAGCUGGAGUACGGUAGGGGCAGAGGGAAUUUCCAGUGGAGCGGUGGAAAUGCGUAGAUAUUGGAAAGACCACCGAUGGCGAAGGCACUCUACUGGGCCACUACUGACACUGAGAGACGAAAGCUAGGGGAGCAAAUGGG
rnacentral:rRNA from 1 species